CAACAUUUGUAACCCGGCAUUGUGAACGAGGAAGAUUGAUCAGAUGACACUGUGUUUCCAGAACGUGGAACGUGGUUCCAGAGAUGGCCACCUUAACCUUCAACUGCGUGUGAGCGCCCCUACCCUUGCCGUCGACUCAGAAUUUGGAAAAACAUAAAUGUCCCAAGAAAUGCCAGGAAGGAAUUCCCUGUGGAAAGACCAAUCAGACAGAUCUUCCCCAAGGGCACAGAAGUCUUUUGGACUCCGAUUCCAAGAUUCUUUCUACUAUAGGAGGAGACCCAGCAGCACUCUGGCUGAUUCUCUGCUGGAUUCUCCAUAUUAUGGACUUCCAGAAGGUGACAGAAGUCAUGUUUGGUAAGAUCCAACUGGAUUUGGGCCAAACCAUUAACCCUGCUAGAAAGGAAUCCUCUGUAAGAGCACCAGGAUGCAGGAA